AAAUUCGUUGUCUUCAAUUUUGUGAAUUAUUUUAAAUUUCUUUUUCGUUCAAAAAUUAAAAUAGUUAAAGAUAAGACAAACUGACGUGUAAUUAAUCAAGAAUUUGAAGAAUGCUGUUCGUCAUUUGUUUGUGAAAGCUUCUUUUCCCGGGCAAAGGCAUGCUGUCAAAGCGUUGAAAUGAGGCUCGAUUUUGAUCAUUUGAUACAGAAACAUUUUAAACGAGUGUGACACAUUUGAUUGUGUGGAUAAUAUGAUUGAAGAAUUAGUUCCAAAACGGGAGUUUUUCUUACAAUGCCUGUAAAGUAAAAUGUGAACGGAACCUAUCAAUGUGUUUGAUCAAUAUGCCCAAACGAGAAUCCCGCUUGUCUCAUGGCGAAUUGACAAUGACGUUACGUUUUGCACCUGACGAAAUUUGCUGCAGUUUUUCAACGAAUUGAAGAACUGCUUUCUCGUUUUGUAUGCUGCACAAGCGGUAGAUGUCGCCGAGAAUGCUGCUCCGAAAAAAAAAUAGUACCUAUUCCUCUAUCCCGUUAUUGUGGAACGCAGUGGCGUAGUGCAUUCUUGUAUGACCUGUUGAAGAACCAGAGUUGAGAACUUUCUCUGGGAGUUAAACCGGAGAAACGCACUGUUGCUGACGGAAUUGCAACGUCUAGGUAAGUUUAUGUCUCUCAUUUUCUUGAUUUGCUUAAUCAGGCUUUAGUGAAACAAAUCUCACACAUUUUAGCCAAAGACUUGGCUAAUAUCAUGUGAUGGUAACUGACAGUUUUGGAAACCAGUGGCCCAAAAAAUCUUGGUUGUAGCAACAUGUUUGUUAUUUUGGGGCACGAACAAAGAGCCGAGGUUUCCUAGAUUUCUUACACACCUAAAUCCGUUAUGUUGGACAAAUCAGCAAAAUGUUGGGAUUUUUCCUGUUUGACGUUUUUCUUUCAUUACAACGAAUUGACGGAAAUCCUUUAAUAUUCGGAUAUUUUAACUAAAAUACUCCGGAAAUGCACAAAUAAUAGAAACGCCGAUUUCACAUUUCACUGUGCCCUGGUUUCUUUUGUGUACAAAGUAAAGAUCUUUGUUUGCAUUGUGUUCAAUGAUAUCUUUCAAGUGUUAUGUUUUUGUUUUGUGAGGUGUGUAAAACUUAAAGGCUGUAGUGCUGAAAAAAAAAAGGAACCUGUAGGGAAAGCAGUUUCUAAUUUCUCUCUGUGAACCAAUAGGAACUCAGGAACACGAAAGGAUAUAUUAAACUUAAAACAGCUUCCAACUGGAUUAAAAUAACGUAUAAAUACCGAUUUCUAUUUGCAUAGGUUUAUGUCUGCUGAAAUUGUAAAACGCCGAAACCAGGGCGACAAAUGAAUCUCGAACCUCUAGUGGAUAAUCAAAAACGAUAUCUGAGUUGCCACUUUGCAGUUGCUUUUGAGCUUCUAUUAUCCCACUAAGAAUGUCUGAAACAUCAUAAAUAUGAAUUAGCUUUUGACCACAAAAACAAGCAUUAAAAAACCAUACUUUUAUAUGGAACUUCUUCAUCAUGUUUCAUAUGACUAGUCAGGUUUUCAAGCAACUUAGCAGAUCCAAUUAACAACUCUUCUGCAUAAAGGAAUUUAGAAAAAAAAUAUUAAUAAGUGUAUGAAGGGGUGGUCAGUGAAGAAAACAAUAUGAUGCAGAGAUCAUUAUUACCAUUUAGAGAGUUUUCAAGGAUGAAGGCAACAGACAUCCAUAAGGCUUCAUCAUCAAGAAGACUACUGCAGGAUUUAUUGUCAGAAUAGUGGUAGGAUUUAUUGUCAGAAUAGUGAAUCAAAUUAUCUAGGAGCCGAACAAUCUGGAUAAUUAUUUGGGAGUCUUCACUAGACAUCAAGUUUACUACACCAGUCAGCAACUCACUAUCCAAUAGGAUUUCAUGGCCUAUCUUUUGUUGGCAAGCUAGGUUUGCUAGGAUUCCAAUUCCAAUCUCCUGUAUUUAUAUUUUUAUGUUCAUUAAAAAAAAAUGCAUAAUAUGCACUCAUUAACACCUUUACCGUUAAUCUUGGGGCUACACUUUCUUCAAUGACACAUUUUGCUAAGGAUAAAAUGUCAUGCUGAAAUAAACAAUGUGCAACUUCUUUAUCUGCAGACAUGUCCCACAACAAACACAGGUCUGUUUCCAAGGAUUCAUCCAGUUCAACUGCAUUGCUCUCUUGAGUUUCAAAAUUGUUAUGGUUCUUUGAGUAUGAAGGCAAUUCCUGGACAGUGAAACUUGUUGAAACUAUUUAACUUGUCUAUUAGUUUUAUACCUCAGUAAGUUUCAUUAAAGUUUUCAAGAUCCACGAUUCCGAAUACAACGUAUCACCUAUCGCA